rnacentral:rRNA from 1 species
UACGUAGGUGGCAAGCGUUGUUCGGAAUCACUGGGCGUAAAGGGCGCGUAGGCGGCCCUCCUUGUCGCGUGUGAAAGCCCCGGGCUCAACCUGGGAACGGCGCGCGAGACGGGGGGGCUGGAGUUCGGGAGAGGGGCGUGGAAUUCCCAGUGUAGAGGUGAAAUUCGUAGAUAUUGGGAAGAACACCGGUGGCGAAGGCGGCGCUCUGGACCGAGACUGACGCUGAGGCGCGAAAGCGUGGGGAGCAAACAGG